rnacentral:rRNA from 1 species
UAGGGAAUCUUCCGCAAUGGACGAAAGUCUGACGGAGCAACGCCGCGUGAGUGAAGAAGGAUUUCGGUUCGUAAAACUCUGUUGUUAGGGAAGAAAAAAUGUAUAGUAACUAUAUACAAAAGAGACGGUACCUAACCAGAAAGCCACGGCUAACUACGUACCAGCAGCCGCGGUAAUACGUAGGUGGCAAGCGUUGUCCGGAAUUAUUGGGCGUAAAGCGCGCGCAGGUGGUUUAGAAAGUCUGAUGUGAAAGCCCACGGCUCAACCGUGGAGGGUCAUUGGAAACUAAUAAACUUGAGUGCAGGAGAGAAAAGUGGAAUUCCUAGUGUGGCGGUGAAAUGCGUAGAGAUUAGGAGGAACACCGGUGGCGAAAGCGGCUUUUUGGCCUGCAACUGACACUGAGGCGCGAAAGCGUGGGGAGCAAACAGG